UACGUAGGGGGCAAGCGUUGUUCGGAAUUAUUGGGCGUAAAGCGCGUGUAGGCGGCUUUGCAAGUCAGAUGUGAAAGCCCUCGGCUUAACCGAGGAAGUGCGUCUGAAACUGCAGAGCUUGAGUGUCGGAGAGGAUGGCGGAAUUCCGCAAGUAGAGGUGAAAUUCGUAGAUAUGCGGAGGAACACCGGUGGCGAAGGCGGCCAUCUGGACGACGACUGACGCUGAGACGCGAAAAGCGUGGGGGAGCAAACA
rnacentral:rRNA from 1 species